GACGUAGGGCGCAAGCGUUGUCCGGAUUUAUUGGGCGUAAAGAGCUCGUAGGCGGCUUGUUGCGUCGUCCGUGAAAACCCGCAGCUCAACUGCGGGCUUGCGGACGAUACGGGCAGGCUGGAGUUCGGUAGGGGAGACUGGAAUUCCUGGUGUAGCGGUGAAAUGCGCAGAUAUCAGGAGGAACACCGGUGGCGAAGGCGGCUCUCUGGGACGGUACUGACGCUGAGACGCGAAAGCGUGGGGAGCGAACAGG
rnacentral:rRNA from 1 species